GCACCAAAAAGUCCCAAAACAACUGCAAACAAUUUCCAGAAUGGCAUCAGAACUCGAUGCAAAAGCCGCUCCAACACCUCCACACUCGACGCCACGUGCUACCCACAGGCUCCAGCAUGCAGGGGGCGGUGCUAUAAACCUCCCAGGUGCAAUGCAUCCUGGGGAAACUUGCUUUGUAUUUUGGUAAACCGAGGCAUUAUUUUCAAUAGAUUUUCAUUUGUAAACCGAAAAUUGUUAACCGAGGCGUUUGUAAACCGAGGUCCCACUGUACACAUUUCGCCAAUGUGGCUUUCUCAAAAUGGGAUAAUAUACACACUUCAAUUUUGUGAAAAUCUUUUACUGCUUCAGUGUAGGAAUACUUCCAAAGUGCCAAUUUUCUACUAACAUUUAAUGUUACUUUUCAACUAGCUCAUGGUGUUGUAGUUUAUGAUUUAUCAAAUUGCCCCAGUGUAUAGUCUCUUGAAUGUAAUAAUGGUAACAUGAAGCAUCUAAACAAGUUUCACCACAGUAAUUAUGUCCUGUGUGUGUGCGCAAAAAAAAUAAUCCAUGGAUAAAGUAGUUUUGAGAAUGUGUCCACUCCAAGUCAUCAGCUGCGUAUUGUGUAACAAGAUGACUGGUAAACAUGUCUUUUUUGUUUUCAGCAUUUGAAGGACCC